AGAUGGGGUCUACUUUUUGGAGAUUGAGUCGAUGGGUAAGGUCGAAUUAGAUAAUAACCCCGACCUUAUACCAGCGUGAAACGCCAAAAUCAACUCGGGGGUCAUAGGUCGAGGUCGAGAUUUGUGGGCGAAAUGAAGUCGAGUUCGGGGUAGACAAACCUGAGUCAUCAGGUUGGAUUUUCAUGAUUUUGAAUGGAUUAGUUCAAAUCUAUACAGGGCUGAAGUUGUGGAAAUUCCUUACGAGGUCAAGAAAAACCCGGCAGUAAAAAAGAAGGCAAAAUCAACAGAAGCAAAAGCGAAGAAAUAAAAGAAAGCCAAAGAUCUGAAUACACCGAAACGCCCUCCGACUUCCUUCUCCCUUUUCAUGGAGGACUUUAGGAAAGAGUACAAGGAGGCUAAUCCUGACUGCAAGGGUGUAAAAGAGUUUUCUCAAGGAAAAUCUAAGUGCUGUAAAAUGUUUGAUCUGAUUCUAACUUCAAUGAUAACCGGGAGAAAAAGUUCUAUCAGGAUAGAGCUGCAGAACUUAAAGAAGAAUAUGCCAAGGCCUUGAAGUCACACAAGAAGAAUAUGAACAAGUAUGUAUGUUAUUCUUAGGAAUCGUUUGGUAAGGCUUUUGAAAAGUUAAAAGCUAUCAUUUGACCCAACUAUCGAGUAGGGAUGAAAGUCUACGUCGGUUAGUCGACGAUGUAGAUUAGAUGGAUAGUUGCUCAACAGAUAAAAGUUACUUCAAAGAUAAUAGACUAAUAUUCUAUAAGAGUUUACAUUGGCUGAAAGAUUUGGCACGUUGAUGUAGCUUCUCCGCCACUUGGAAUUCAUCUAUUAAAGUGUAAAGGUAAAAUUAGAGAAUGAAAAUCAUUUUCUAAUUUUUCUUAAAAAUCUACGCUCUUAUUAAAACCAUUUGUCAA